AUCGUCUGUUGUGGCUGCCUUGUUCUGAAUGGAUUCAAACCUUUGAUGGUCAUUUUGACUUUGAUGAAGGACCAGAAGUUGUACCACGCCAGAAUGGUACCUAAGAUUCCUCUUGGGGCUCACUGUUUUGGACAAAGCCAUCCCAGCAUAUGAGAACCAUUCGUGAGGCAGAAGCUACCCAGAGAAGGAUGGAUGAAGACAGGUGCAGGAUCGCACAAAGUGCAAUGUAGUGGGGACCUCUGGACAGAAGUGUGUCUCAGGCAGCAGCAAGACAAGGCCUCACCCAGCCUCUGAGCUGGUACCGCAGAGACCGAGAAGCUUAUGACUCUGAGAAUUUACUCUGUGGCUCCUUGCAGAAAAGCUUUGUCAACACUUAACAUACACACACAUCGGGUGCACAGGAAGAGAGGCAAGGAGGAGGAAGGGGCAGAAGAGGAGGAGAGAUGAUAAGGCUGGGAAGAGACACUGAGAGAUGAGGAAACACGAAUAUAUAACGUCAGGAGCCGAGAAAGGAAAUACGACUGAGGGAAGUCGACUUCAGAAGUAAAGACCCGAACACAUCUAUGGCUGAAAGCUAGGAGGUGUGAUAAAAAGAUGUGUCAUUUUGGUCCUGGGAAGCAGCCGGAAGCCACAGGAUGCCACAUCCAGGGGAUACAGGAGACAGGGACACACCAGGGGGUUGUCAGGAGCUCACCUUUCUGUGCGACGGUGCUCAGCAGCGGCACUCACUGCCACCAUAGUUUCGACCAGACCUUGUGAAGGUACUCAGGAAAGAGGGCUCCAGAACUGCUUCAAAAAAUGGCAGGAAUGAUGGCACAAACGUAUCUACAGCGAGGAGUGUUUUCAGGGGAAUCCUGGCAAUGUGUCAUUUACUGUUAUAAAUUUAA